UAAAGCUAGUUAAUAGUUCAAUCUUACUUAUCCAUGUAUACACCACAAAUAAUUUAUUUGCAUACCAAAAAAAAACUUUACCAAAAAGACCAUUGCAAUAAUUAGGAAAUCGCCUAAUAAACUUUGCACUCUAUUGUGAAUUAUAUUACUAGAAAAUGCUUUGUUGUAUCUUCUACUGCAACACCUACACAGGUUCUAGUGCUAAAUAAGAAUUAUAUAAAAGAAAAUUUAGUCUAUAAGCUAGAUAGGCAACUAUAAGAGAUCUGACAGUUACCAUAAUUAUUACACUGGAUCAGAAGUAGUUAAACUUUCUUUUCAUCAAUUGAAAUGUUGAAAACAUAGCACUGACUGAGAAAUUUGAUGCCUGGAGAGUUUACAAUUAGUCUGGUCACUAGGUUCUAGGUGAUAAUUCCAAAGUCUUACCAGAUUGACAUGGACUUAUUAAUUGUGAAAAAGUUAUGUUUAUGGCCAGAUCAAGGUCUGCCAUACCGCCCAUACUAACGUACCGGCGGGCACCCGUACCGGUACGGUACUAGUUGGAAUCGGCCAACAGAGCAGCGAAGUCCGCGGACGCGAAAAAAAUAACACGCGGACGUGUUAAAUGCUGCAAAAUGCCACUCUGUGGCAUUAAAUGGCCCACGCGGGCUGCCCUGGAACCGCACGCAGGCGUGAU
rnacentral:lncRNA from 1 species